AUGUACAGAUUCACAGGAGUGAGAGUUUAUUCAUUAGUGAUGAUCUGCCUGAUUAAAGGUCACAUGGGUGAUGCUGCUGACCCUGUGCCUGCCAUUACAGGAGGAAGUGUCAUCAUCAACUGUGUGUAUAAUCGUGAAAAUGCGAAAACCAGUGCAAAAAGCUUUUGCAAAAAGUUGGGCAGUAAUUGUACAACCAUGACAGAAGUAAAGAAUGAUUUAUGGAUCCCAGAGGAGAGAUUCUCUAUGACUGAUAAUACAACUCUGGGUCUGAUUAGUGUGCUCAUUAGAAACCUGACUGUAAAUGACAGUGGGACAUACAGAUGUAAAGAUGGCAGCGAAUGGUUUCAGGAGGUCAAACUCAACGUGGAACAAGAGUGGUGUUGUGGGACAUCAGAGGAACACACUGCGUAAAUAUUAGGAACUGCUGUCAUCCACUGUAAAUAUCCUGAGAAAUAUAAAGAUCAUCUCAAGCAAUUAUAUAAAGUGCAGAAUGGAUCAUUAGUGUCUAUUCAUAUAUUUGGAAGUUCAACCACUAAUGAGAGAUUUUCUCUGAGUGUAAAUGAACAGGAGCAUGUCCUCACUGUGACUAUUGCUAAUGUGAGUAGACAUGAUGAUGGGGUGUAUUUCUGUGGAAUAUACAGCAACCUUAUCUACAUUCCCCUUUUCACAGAGAUUCAACUUCACGUUUCAGGUGAGAACACAUGUAAAGGUACUUCACGAUGCCACAGAAGAACCUUUUUGUCUAAAUGGUUCCAUAAAGAAUCUUUACAUCUGAAGAACCUUUCUGUUUCACAAAAGCUUCUUUGUGGUGAAAGAAUGUUCUUCGGAUUAUAAAAAGGGAAGAAAGAGAUGGUUAUUUGACUGAAUGGUUCUUUAUGGAAACAAAAAUGGUUCUUCUAUGGCAUCGCUGUGAAGAACCCUUUGAAGUACCUUUAUUUUAAAGAGUGUACAUGUAAUGUACGCUAAUGUCAUUUUGAUUCUUGACCUUUCAUCUGUGGACAACAAUGGAAAACCAAGAACAGAUGCUUCAGUCCAGUCUGGUGAGUUCUUUAAUAUAAAUUACAUUUGAUUAUUAUGAGAAUGAAAUUGGAUUAAUGACAAUUUAGGACAUCACAAUUAAAGUUAUUUGCUGGUAAAGUGAUACUCACAGAGCUUGCCUUGGCAGAAGUGAUGGGAAAAAUUAUGUUUUUUGAAAAUUUGAAUUAAUCAAAAUAAUUGUGUCAUAAAAUGCUUCACUGUUUUAAAGCAUUUAGCUACAGAAGUAAUUCAAAAAGAUUGUAAAUCUUGACAUAACUGAUAAACCCAGAUGUUAUUCAAUUAAAAUAAUAAACCUGUCCCUUUCAGGUGGCCUCA
ensembl:lncRNA